UACAGAGGUCUCAAGCGUUGUUCGGAUUCAUUGGGCGUAAAGGGUGUGUAGGUGGCGCCGUAAGUCGGGUGUGAAAUUUCGGAGCUUAACUCCGAAACUGCAUUCGAUACUGCGGUGCUUGAGGACUGGAGAGGAGACUGGAAUUCAUGGUGUAGCAGUGAAAUGCGUAGAGAUCAUGAGGAAGACCAGUGGCGAAGGCG
rnacentral:rRNA from 1 species